CAAACCAAAAUAAAGAAUAAUUUAUCUGCAAGCAUAAAACCAAAUACCAGCCAAAGAACAUUAUUCAAUCCAACACGAAACAAUAUUCAGAACAACAAUAUGAUAAAAAAAUAAAGAGAAAAGAGGCAUUGUUAGAGCGCAAAAAUGCAUAGAUAUAUUUUAAGAAAAUGAAACUUAAUAACCAAAAUCGGAGGCAACAAAGGCUGUCAGCAGCGUCGCUUCGAUGGUUUCCACCGAAGCAGUGCCGGAGGAAACAAAAUAUGGCCUAGAUCUGGCCAUGUAUGGUAAGACAGUGACAGUUCAUUUCAACUAAAGGAUCGCCCGCUGGUGACCAAUUUCGGCGAGGCGUGGGGAUAGGGGAAGGAAAAGAGGAAAAUGGGAAUUUCCGCAGGAGUCGUUGUUGGCCGGUGGCAUGGUUUUCUCCGUUGGUGGUUUGAGGAUGGCUGGUCGUUGGGAGUUUGAGGGUGGUGGCAGUCGUGUGGUGGUGGCGUGGCUGGAUCUCGCCGGUCAUAACUCCGACGAGCCAACAACGGUAAAGAUCAAGGAGAGGCGGCACGUGUGGCGUUGUUUCAUUGGAUUCCGGCAUUGGAGCAACAUAGGAAGUGGUUGUCUGGUCCUGAGAAAGAGAAAAUGAAGAAAAAAUAAAGGGAAAACGGGCUGUGUAUGUAUUUG
rnacentral:lncRNA from 1 species